rnacentral:tRNA from 1 species
GGAUGGGUGCCCGAGUGGUUGAAGGGACCGGUCUUGAAAACCGGCAGGGGUUAACGCCCCUCGUGGGUUCGAAUCCCACCCCAUCCGCCA